rnacentral:rRNA from 1 species
UUCGGGAUGCCGGCGAGUGGCGAACGGGUGAGUAACGCGUGGAUACCUGUCCUGUGGUGGGGAAUAACGUUUAGAAAUGAACGCUAAUACCGCAUAAGCCCUUCGGGGGAAAGAUUUAUCGCCACAGGAGGGGUCCGCGUCGGAUUAGCUAGUUGGUGGGGUAAAGGCCUACCAAGGCGACGAUCCGUAGCUGGUCUGAGAGGAUGAUCAGCCACACUGGGACUGAGACACGGCCCAGACUCCUACGGGAGGCAGCAGUGGGGAAUAUUGCGCAAUGGGGGAAACCCUGACGCAGCGACGCCGCGUGGGUGAAGAAGGCCUUAGGGUUGUAAAGCCCUUUCAGUGGGAAAGAUGAUGACGGUACCCACAGAAGAAGCUCCGGCUAACUCCGUGCCAGCAGCCGCGGUAAUACGGAGGGGGCUAGCGUUGUUCGGAAUUACUGGGCGUAAAGGGCGCGUAGGCGGUCAGGCAAG